AAAGGUAGCAUAAUCACUUGUCCCCUAAAUAGAGACUAGUAUGAAAGGCCAAAUGAAGGUUUACCUGUCUCUUGUAGCCAAUCUGUGAAACUAAUCUUUUAGUACAAAAGCUAAAAUAAAAACAUAAGACGAAAAGACCCUGUGGAACUUUUAAACGACAAACAUUAUAUGUUACCAUCGCUUUUAGUUGGGGCAACUAUGGAAUAAAACACAACUUCCAGUAUUUUUAAGGCACACACACCUAAAUCCAAUCGCUCGACCCAGUCACACUGAUUAAAGAAACAAGCUACCCCAGGGAUAACAGCGCCAUCCCCCCUUAGAGCCCCCAUCGACGGGGGGGUUUACGACCUCGAUGUUGGAUCAGGGCACCCAAACAGUGCAGAAGCUGUUAACGGUUUGUUUGUUCAACAAUUAAAGCCCUACGUGAUCUGAG
rnacentral:rRNA from 1 species